GACGAACCGAGCGAACGUUAUUCGGAAUCACUGGGCUUAAAGGGUGCGUAGGCGGGCCCGUCAGUCAGGGGUGAAAUCCCACGGCCCAACCGUGGAAGUGCCUCUGAUACUGCGGGCCUGGAGGGGGAUAGGGGCGUGCGGAACUUCCGGUGGAGCGGUGAAAUGCGUAGAUAUCGGAAGGAACGCCGGUGGCGAAAGCGAUCGACUGGACCUUUUCUGACGCUGAGGCGCGAAAGCCAGGGGAGCAAACGGG
rnacentral:rRNA from 1 species